rnacentral:rRNA from 1 species
UACGGAGGAGCCAAGCGUUGUCCGGAUUGACUGGGCGUAAAGCGCACGCAGGCGGACGCGCGCGUGGGGUGUGAAAUCUGGCCGCUUAACGGCCAGGCGCCAUCCCAUACGGCGCGUCUGGAGUGAUGCAGAGGUCGGUGGAAUUGCCGGUGUAGUGGUGAAAUGCGUAGAGAUCGGCAGGAACACCCAGGGGGAAACCAGCCGACUGGGCAUCUACUGACGCUGAGGUGCGAGAGCGUGGGGAGCGAACCGG